UUUUUUUUUUUAAGAACGAAAAAUUGUGAUUCUAUUUUAAGACAUGUCAGGCUGAAGCGAUACGCGAUAUAUAUUUCUAUUCGGAUUUCACCGUCGUCGUAAUCGAUGCUAUUGGAAACGUUUCACAAUAGACGUCUUACAAGCGCUUGCAAUGUCCGUCAUGUGUAAGGCUCUACCACUGAAUCGCGGCUGCCAUUUAGUGAUUAAGGUCGAUCACUUAGAGACGUUAAUCCGCCAUAAUGGUGAGCAAUACAUCGAAGCCAUUAUUGAAAGCAUAGUUACGCUUUAAUUUCAUCGAUCUUAUUCACAAAUAGAAGUGUACAAAUUAUAGGAUUUCCAAAUAUUUAGUUUAGUUAAAAGGAGAUAUGAAAAUGACAGGUAUAUUCAAAGGAUAAAACAGAACCGUACGAUUGUAAAGUUUCAAAUCAUUAUAACUAUUUAAAUUUGAAAAAUCUUACUAUAUUUAUACAAUAUAUUUUUAUUAAGAAUGGAAGAAAUUUCGAAAAAUCCGCCAACACUUUUUACUGUCGUCUUGAAGCACACCAUAUGUUAAGCUUCUUCGUCGUUACAAAUUUUAUCGCGGAUGUAACGAACGUUUCGAACAUGUAGCACGCACGCGUCAACGCCUACAUUUGGAUUUUAAAUAUAUGUUUUAUGCAUUAAAUGUAUUUGUACUUUCUUGCGCAAUUUCUUUUAAUUUGUUACGAUAUGGAGGGUUUAAUUACGUUUAAGAUAUCUAUCUGAAUCCUUUAAAUUCAAUGUUCUUUAAAACAUUACAUUACGUAAAAUAAUCGUUUUUCCACUUUAUUGUAUCAUAAAAUAGUUACUUAAAUUCAUAUUACUUAAAGAAUCUUCCUACAGAAAGAAUAAAAAAGAAUAAAAUCCUAUAUGUUAAAUUUUACGUGGUUGAUGGAAUACAUAGCGAUGACGAGAACUAACUACAGACAACAAGAAACUAUUAGCGAAGGCAACUGGUGACUAUGAAUGUCGUCUCUAUAAUAUGUGGCGACUAAGGAGAACAACUACCAACUACGGAUAACAAGUAACAACCAACUGUCUCGUUUCUAAGGGGCAACUAACUUGCAAUUAUCCUCCUUUGAUGGUUCCUGUAGCGUGAUAUACGUCUUGAACGUAGUUAAAGAAUAUGGUCGCUGCUGAAUGGCGAUUUGACAGCAAGGCGAUCCCGCCAGUUCAAAGCUUGACAUUGCAAGCUACCGAAAACCAUUAAUCUUGUUAUCGAAUAUCUAGCUUUCAGAAGAACCCUUGUGAUAUGAUAUGACGUCAUGACAUUUUUAUGACGAAGAUGAACAAACACCGACCUCUAACCAAACAAAUUUUUAUUAAGUGCCGUAUGUGGGUUGCAGGCCGGCCAACCAAGGAAAUUUAUCGAAUGUAUAAAGUAAAAUAUAUACGAAUAUAUUGGAUAUAUCAUAAAAUGCCCGCGUUAUAUCGUCUAACAGCAUAAAGAAAGCUAAAUUUAAGGAAUUAAAAAAUUGAAAUACCAAUUAUAAGAGAGUUAAUUAAAUUCAAACCUAUCGAUGGUCUCAUAAAGACCUAUAUUUCCUGGAAAUUGAUAUCUUUCGAAUUCUAAAUUCUCCUUAGAAAGUAUCAUAGAGAAAAUAUGAAACUUGAAAAGUACAUCACGCUGAUGCCUCGAUAAACCGUCGUGUCGAUAAAUCCAUGUGUCCGAGCGAUGAAUUUUCCCCAAACAACAAAAAACUGAAGGGAAAUCUUCUUUGAAGGACGUGACAAGGUAGGGGAAGCGGGAACAAUGAUCACGCGAUAAACUGAUGGUGUACGUAUAGAACGUGUACGUAUAGAACGUUGCGAGAGAAUUAUCGAGAAACAAAAAAAGAAAAAAUAAUCGUUGGCCGGCGCGACUAUACGCUGUCGACGGGCAAACAGCGACUGAGACUAACUGAAACGAACUCUGUCGCAGUAUGAGCACGGGCUGCGUUCGCGGGUCGAUCGAACACGUUCUGCGCCUCUCCUCGGCACCGACGUCAAAGCCACCCCCGAUGGCUGCAACGCACUGGUGCACUUGGUGGUCCUUCCUUUUUCGUGUGAUAUUAUACCAGCAUCUGUGAUGCCAUUUCAAAGACCGCAAUCAAAGCAUUAAAUGCCAGAUUAAAGCGACGCGAUAAUAUUACCCCAAUAUUCGUCCGUAAAUGUUACCGUAUAGAUGUUUAAUUAAGCAUUAUUAUGCUUCGAAUAAUUUACUAUCACAUGUUCCACAAGAAAACAUAUGUUUCACUUUUCCCCGUGGCGUAAAAUGUCAAAUUAAAAGUACCAAAUUAAAAACAUAUGGUAUCCCGAAACCAAACGUACGACAUGGCGAAUCACGAUGAUACGAUAAAAAUUGAUCUAUGUCUUGAUUUAUUCAAACAGAACGAACUUACUCGAACUUUUCCAGAAUAAACGAUUUAUCCGAUAAUAUCCGUCACCAGCUUCUCUUCCUUCAACGGUAACAACUGACACCGAAAGCUCGAGAGACCCGAACGGUGAGACGUACCCAGAAGCAAUGCAGUUACCUGGGCAAAGAGUCCCAAAGACCAAGGACGUAGGAAAUUUCGAGAAACGGAAAUGGAAACUGGAGUGGCGCGUCAAUCAGCACUGACGGAAACUAAUAAAAAUGGAAAAAACCAAACUAAUUCGUUUCA